rnacentral:rRNA from 1 species
GAUGAACGCUGGCGGCGUGCCUAAUACAUGCAAGUCGAGCGAACAGACGAGGAGCUUGCUCGUCUGACGUUAGCGGCGGACGGGUGAGUAACACGUGGAUCAUCUACCUAUAAGACUGGGAUAACUUCGGGAAACCGGCGCUAAUACCGGAUAAUAUACUGCACCGCAUGGUUCAAUAGUGAAAGACGGUUUUGCUGUCACUUCUAGCUGGAUCCGCGCUGCAUUAGCUAGUUGGUAAGGUAACGGCUUACCAAGGCUACGAUGCGUAGCCGACCUGAGAGGGUGAUCGGCGACAUGGGAAGUGGGACACGGUCAAGGCGCCUACGGGAGGCAGCAGUAUGGAACCGGCCGCAGUGGGCGAAAGCCUGGCGGAGCAACGCCGCGUGAGUGGUGAAGGUCUUCGGAUCGUAAAGCUCUGUUAUGGGGUAAGAACAAAUGUGUAAGUAACUAUGCAGGGAGUGACGGUACCUAAUCAGAAAGCCACGGCUAACUACGUG